rnacentral:rRNA from 1 species
UACAGAGGUCCCGAGCGUUGUUCGGAUUCAUUGGGCGUAAAGGGUGCGUAGGCGGCGGGGUAAGUUUGAUGUGAAAUUCCGGGGCUCAACCCUGGCAUGGCAUUGAAUACUACCUUGCUAGAGUACCGGAGAGGAAACUGGAAUUUACGGUGUAGCAGUGAAAUGCGUAGAGAUCGUAAGGAAGACCAGUGGCGAAGGCGAGUUUCUGGACGGUAACUGACGCUGAGGCACGAAGGCCGGGGGAGCAAACAGG